UACAGAGGUCCCAAGCCGUUGUUCGGAUUCAUUGGGCGUAAAGGGUGCGUAGGUGGCGUCGUAAGUCGGGUGUGAAAUCUCGGGGCUUAACUCCGAAACUGCAUUCGAUACUGCGGUGCUUGAGGACUGGAGAGGAGACUGGAAUUUACGGUGUAGCAGUGAAAUGCGUAGAGAUCGUAAGGAAGACCAGUGGCGAAGGCGGGUCUCUGGACAGUUCCUGACACUGAGGCACGAAGGCCAGGGGAGCAAACGGG
rnacentral:rRNA from 1 species